AAAGGCAUCUGAGUGGUAAGAGGAUCCGGAGCCCAGGACUGCUGAGUCAACCCUCUGGAAUGCCCACAACUCCCCACAGGCCAGCCGGCCUUGGGACUCCCGCACAGCCACGUGAGCCGGUGGAGCCGGGUCUGUUUGCUAGUGGAGGCUGUUAACAGCACGGGAAGUGGUCAAGGGUUCAACAAGAGAUGAGCCAUCUGGUCCUCCAGAGGGAACCAGCAGGCCACAGAAGGUUGUGACUUCAAUAUACCCUCUCAUGAGACCUUUCCUGGCCCCUUAUCUGUGGAGGAGGCACGUGACCCACAUGGUCUGGCCACUGAUGACUGAACAAGCUAUGGACACCGGACCCCGGAGAGACCAUUCACUCACUGGCCACGAACAUGAGUUCAGAUACAUGCCCCAAAAGGAUGAGCCUGGGUACUGGAUUCCCUCCCUCAGAAACGUGAAUCAAGAGACACAGGAUGUUCCUGUUGGUCCAGAUACUUGAGCUAAAAGGUGAUGGAUACCUGGAUGUGGGGUGGUCAUUCUGGGGAGUACGUCCAUAUAGAAAGAGGAGCAGGUGCUGUGGGAUUCUGGAUCCCAGUGAUAGAGCUAAGUGGCUGGAUCAAGCUUCACCUGAAACCCACUCUACUUGUCUUAGUCCAUUUUGUGUUGCUAUAAAAGAAUACCUGCAACUGGGUAAUGUAUAAAGAAAAGAGACUUAUUUCAUUGGUUCUGCAAUCAGCAGCCCCUCCAGACAUCCCUGGGAGGCUCCAAGGAGCUGACUCCUGAUGAGGAAAAGGAUCAGCCGCAGACUCACUCCUCCUCCAGCCACUUCCAGACCCACGGGAGGCGUGGGUGUGACCCAGACUACCUGGGAGCAUCUGCUUUUGUCUUUAUCCAGGGCAGGACCCUCUGAAGGAGGAGCCCUCAGAGAAGAAGGGAAAAGCCAAAAGGAAUUAAAAGCCAAUUUCCAAAUGGAAAU
rnacentral:lncRNA from 1 species